rfam:Leersia perrieri chromosome 3, whole genome shotgun sequence.
AAUACAUGUCGCCAUUGACUUUUAACCAUAUGUUUGACUAUUCGUCUUAUUCAAAAAAUUUAUACAAAUAUUAUUUAUUUUCGUUAUGAAUUGGUUUAUUACUAUGGAUAUUUUAAACAUGACUUGCAUUUUUAUAUAUUUGCAUAAAUUUUUUGAAUAAGACGAAUGGUCAAAUAUGUGAUAAAAAGUCAAUGGCGACAUGUAUU